rnacentral:lncRNA from 1 species
CGGGGGCGCUACCAAUCGUCCAUGGUGUACCAGGGUCUGGAGGCAGCUUCGGGGCGGUAGCCGUGAUCUUGGGGCGAUCCCAGGUCUGAUCCUUGGUACCCGUGUCCGGGGGGCACUGGGGAUGGGGAGGCAGCGCUGGUGACGAUGCGGGGGAAGGCACUGGCCUUUCUCAGACUGAUGCCGGGGAUCUGGGGGUGAUGCUGGGGAUCUGGGAGCUAUCCCGGGCACAGUACCGGUGGUCCGAGGCGGUAUCGGGAAUGAGGAGGCGGCCCCGCGGGCAAUGCGAGGGAGGUACCGGUGGUCGGGGGAGGUACAAGGGAUUUGGUACAAGGGAUUUGGCCUUGAUGCCGGAGCGAUCCCGGGAAUCUGAGGGGGAUCCCGGGGACAGGACCGGGCUUCCGGGGGGAACCGGGCUAUGGAGGCGGCCCUGGAGUUGAUGCGGGGGCCAUCCCGGAGAUUUGGCGGCAUUUCCGAGGCGGAGCCGGUGGGGUCCUUCGGGCCGGGGAGGUGCCGGGGUGGUACCGGGGAUUUGGAAGCAGGCCCGGAGGUGGUGCGAGGGUAGAUCCCAGGAAUCUGGGGGUGAUCCCGAAAAUUUCGGGGAGAUCCCAGGGGCAGUAUCGAGGGUCCAUGGUAGUACCGGAGAAGGGGAGCCGGCCCCGGGGGCGAUCCCGGAGGCGGUACCGGGGAUCUGGGGGCGGUCCCGAGCCGGUCACGGUCUCCCGACAGGGGUCGCGAAGAAGAGCCCGGGGCACUCCCUCGGCGCGGGGCCAGGACCGGUGCCAGAAGCCGCGGGCGGUGCCAAGGGCGGUCCCGAUCUCCCGGCAGGCGGUCCCGAAGAAGACCCCGGGGCAGUCCCUCGGUGUGGGGCCGGAGCCGGUACCGGGAGCCCCGGGCGGUGCCAAGGGCGGUCCCGAGGCGGAGCCGAUCGCGAUCGCAGUGCUAGUGCCGGUGUCGGGGCAGCGACGGAGCCCGGGGCAUGGCGGGCCUGGGUGCCUCGGAACCGGGCACCGGCCCCGGUGCUGUCCCGGCCACUCGCGUGGAACUCACAGUGUCCUGCAGGCAGCUCCUGGACAGGGACACCUUCUCCAAGUCGGACCCAAGUGAGUGAAGCAGGGGGGAUGGGAUAUGUUUUGGCUCUUGGGUGUUUUGGGGAGUCUCUGGGGAGCUUGGAGUUUCUGGGGCUUUUGGGGUCUCUGGAAGGUCUCAGGGGAUUUUUAGAUCUCUG